UGCCAGACUCCUACGGGAGGCAGCAGUGGGGAAUAUUGCACAAUGGGGGAAACCCUGAUGCAGCGACGCCGCGUGAGCGAUGAAGUAUUUCGGUAUGUAAAGCUCUCUCAGCAGGGAAGAAAAUGACGGUACCUGACUAAGAAGCCCCGGCUAACUACGUGCCAGCAGCCGCGGUAAUACGUAGGGGGCAAGCGCUAUCCGGAUUUACUGGGUGUAAAGGGAGCGUAGACGGUCCUGCAAGCCAGAUGUGAAGGCCCGGGGCUCAACCCCGGGACUGCAUUUGGAACUGUAAGGCUAGAGUGUCGGAGAGGCAGGCGGAAUUCCUAGUGUAGCGGUGAAAUGCGUAGAUAUUAGGAGGAACACCAGUGGCGAAGGCGGCUUACUGGACAGUAACUGACGUUGAGGCUCGAAAGCGUGGGGAGCAAACAGGAUUAGAUACCCGAGUA
rnacentral:rRNA from 1 species